rnacentral:rRNA from 1 species
GCAGUCGAGCGAAUCGAUGGGAGCUUGCUCCCUGAGAUUAGCGGCGGACGGGUGAGUAACACGUGGGCAACCUGCCUAUAAGACUGGGAUAACUUCGGGAAACCGGAGCUAAUACCGGAUACGUUCUUUUCUCGCAUGAGAGAAGAUGGAAAGACGGUUUACGCUGUCACUUAUAGAUGGGCCCGCGGCGCAUUAGCUAGUUGGUGAGGUAAUGGCUCACCAAGGCGACGAUGCGUAGCCGACCUGAGAGGGUGAUCGGCCACACUGGGACUGAGACACGGCCCAGACUCCUACGGGAGGCAGCAGUAGGGAAUCUUCCGCAAUGGACGAAAGUCUGACGGAGCAACGCCGCGUGAACGAAGAAGGCCUUCGGGUCGUAAAGUUCUGUUGUUAGGGAAGAACAAGUACCAGAGUAACUGCUGGUACCUUGACGGUACCUAACCAGAAAGCCACGGCUAACUACGUGCCAGCAGCCGCGGUAAUACGUAGGUGGCAAGCGUUGUCCGGAAUUAUUGGGCGUAAAGCGCGCGCAGGUGGUUCCUUAAGUCUGAUGUGAAAGCCCACGGCUCAACCGUGGAGGGUCAUUGGAAACUGGGGAACUUGAGUGCAGAAGAGGAAAGUGGAAUUCCAAGUGUAGCGGUGAAAUGCGUAGAGAUUUGGAGGAACACCAGUGGCGAAGGCGACUUUCU